rfam:Triticum urartu cultivar G1812 contig485509, whole genome shotgun sequence.
CUUAGAGCAGUUUGGUAGCUCACGAGGCUCAUAACCUUGAGGUCACGGGUUCGAUUCCCCCAG